GAGUUUGAUCGUGGCUCAGAUUGAACGCUGGCGGCAUGCCUUACACAUGCAAGUCGAACGGCAGCACGGGAGCUUGCUCCUGGUGGCGAGUGGCGAACGGGUGAGUAAUGCAUCGGAACGUAUCCUGGAGUGGGGGAUAACGUAGCGAAAGUUACGCUAAUACCGCAUAUUCUGUGAGCAGGAAAGCGGGGGACCUUCGGGCCUCGCGCUCUUGGAGCGGCCGAUGUCGGAUUAGCUAGUUGGUGAGGUAAAGGCUCACCAAGGCGACGAUCCGUAGCAGGUCUGAGAGGAUGAUCUGCCACACUGGAACUGAGACACGGUCCAGACUCCUACGGGAGGCAGCAGUGGGGAUUUUGGACAAUGGGGGCAACCCUGAUCCAGCCAUGCCGCGUGAGUGAAGAAGGCCUGG
rnacentral:rRNA from 1 species